UACGUAGGGUGCGAGCGUUGUCCGGAAUUAUUGGGCGUAAAGGGCUCGUAGGCGGUUUGUCGCGUCGGGAGUGAAAUCCACUGGCUUAACUGGUGGCUUGCUUUCGAUACGGGCAGACUGGAGGUAUGCAGGGGAGAACGGAAUUCCUGGUGUAGCGGUGAAAUGCGUAGAUAUCAAGAGGAACACCUGAGGCGAAGGCGGGUUGCUAGGCUGACACUGACGCUGAGGCGCGAAAGCUAGGGUAGCAAACGGG
rnacentral:rRNA from 1 species